GAUGAACGGGGACGGCGUGCCUAAUACAUGCAAGUCGAGCGAACAGACGAGGAGCUUGCUCCUCUGACGUUAGCGGCGGACGGGUGAGUAACACGUGGAUAACCUACCUAUAAGACUGGGAUAACUUCGGGAAACCGGAGCUAAUACCGGAUAAUAUAUUGAACCGCAUGGUUCAAUAGUGAAAGACGGUUUUGCUGUCACUUAUAGAUGGAUCCGCGCCGCAUUAGCUAGUUGGUAAGGUAACGGCUUACCAAGGCAACGAUGCGUAGCCGACCUGAGAGGGUGAUCGGCCACACUGGAACUGAGACACGGUCCAGACUCCUACGGGAGGCAGCAGUAGGGAAUCUUCCGCAAUGGGCGAAAGCCUGACGGAGCAACGCCGCGUGAGUGAUGAAGGUCUUCGGAUCGUAAAACUCUGUUAUUAGGGAAGAACAAAUGUGUAAGUAACUAUGCACGUCUUGACGGUACCUAAUCAGAAAGCCACGGCUAACUACGUG
rnacentral:rRNA from 1 species